rnacentral:rRNA from 1 species
UACGGAGGAUCCAAGCGUUAUCCGGAUUUAUUGGGUUUAAAGGGUGCGUAGGCGGCCCUGUAAGUCAGUGCUGAAAUACCCCGGCUUAACCGGGGGGGUGGCAUUGAUACUGCAGGGCUUGAGUACAGAUGAGGUAGGCGGAAUUGACGGUGUAGCGGUGAAAUGCAUAGAUAUCGUCAAGAACACCGAUAGCGAAGGCAGCUUACUGGGCUGUAACUGACGCUGAUGCACGAAAGUGUGGGGAGUCAAACAGGA